CUGCCGUCGGGGUGGAAGUACCGCCGCAUUGGAGGGGCGCCCUCGCCCCUCCAGGACGGGUCCAGCUCCCGCCAGUACUCCGGCGCCAUCUGCAGAGAGGGAGAGAAAGAAGAAGCUAAUUAUCUGCCUACAACUUGCUUGAGGUGGCCCCCUGGAAUGUUUGGUACCAAUUCCAUGCAAGUAGCACCUCCUAAACAUUGUUGUAAACGCAUUCAGACAGACACUAUAGACAGAAUAUCUCACGUAGACGCAACAGAUGGUGGUACAAGAAACAGCUGUGCUGGUAUGCAGUAGGAUGGAGCUCUCCCUCUUUCAAUAGGAACCAUGUGAUAAUCUAAUAACAUCAUAUACAUGGUAUUAACAGGCAAUGUCUAGUUUUCAUCUCGUUCAGGUGAUGACUGUCCAGAGUGAGCUGAAUUUUAGAUACUGAUUUUUUAUGAAUAUGUACAUACAUUUUACUAAUGUAUCUGCACAGGGGAUGACAAAUAUCUCUAACUGUAUCUAAAUUUUUGAAUAGAUACAGUAACAGAGACAAUUUUGAUAAGUGUAAAAGGCAGAUGAGAUGGAUACUGGCUGCAGAGAAGAGAGAACAAACCACGGAACAAAAGUAGAUGAGCUGGAUUAUACUCCUAUGAAACUAAGAAAACUGAACUAAAGAUAUAAAAUACACAGAAACUAAUCCUUCAGAGA